GGGCCCGUAGCUCAGCAAGGAUAGAAAGCCAAUGUCCAAAGCACCGGGCUUUUAACCCGGGGGUCUCGGGUUCAAUUCCCGACGGGCCCGCCA
rnacentral:tRNA from 1 species